rnacentral:rRNA from 1 species
UACGGAGGGGGCUAGCGUUGUUCGGAAUUACUGGGCGUAAAGCGCACGUAGGCGGCUUUGUAAGUUAGCGGUGAAAGCCUGGGGCUCAACCCCAGAAUUGCCUUUAAGACUGCAUCGCUUGAAUCCAGGAGAGGUGAGUGGAAUUCCGAGUGUAGAGGUGAAAUUCGUAGAUAUUCGGAAGAACACCAGUGGCGAAGGCGGCUCACUGGACUGGUAUUGACGCUGAGGUGCGAAAGCGUGGGGAGCAAACAGG